rnacentral:rRNA from 1 species
UCAGUCGACUCCUACGGGAGGCAGCAGUGGGGAAUAUUGCACAAUGGGCGCAAGCCUGAUGCAGCAACGCCGUGUGAGUGAAGAAGGUUUUCGGAUCGUAAAACUCUGUCCUAAGGGAAGAAACAAAUGACGGUACCUUAGGAGGAAGCCCCGGCUAACUACGUGCCAGCAGCCGCGGUAAUACGUAGGGGGCAAGCGUUAUCCGGAAUCACUGGGCGUAAAGGGUGCGUAGGCGGCUUAGCAAGCCAGGGGUGAAAGGCAUUGGCUCAACCAAUGUAAGCCUUUGGAACUGUUAGGCUUGAGUGCAGGAGAGGUAAGUGGAAUUCCUAGUGUAGAGGUGAAAAUUCGUAGAUAUUAGGAGGAACACCAGUGGCGAAGGCGACUUACUGGACUGUAACUGACGCUGAUGCACGAAAGCGUGGGUAGCGAACAGGAUUAGAUACCCCUGGUAG